rnacentral:rRNA from 1 species
UACGUAGGGUGCAGGCGUUAAUCGGAAUUACUGGGCGUAAAGCGUGCGCAGGCGGCUCCUUAAGUCAGAUGUGAAAGCCCCGGGCUUAACCUGGGAACUGCGUUUGAAACUGGGGAGCUAGAGUGUAGAAGAGGGGGGUGGAAUUCCAGGUGUAGCAGUGAAAUGCGUAGAUAUCUGGAGGAACACCGAUGGCGAAGGCAGCCCCCUGGGCUAACACUGACGCUGAUGCACGAAGGUCAGGGGAGCAAACGGG